GAUAAACUGAAACAGUCAACGUCCCACAAUGGACUUGACAUAGGCACGUCGUCACUAGCACGAUACGGACAACUUUUUUCCUCUCUACACUCUACGCCAUCAUGUAUAUUAGUUAUAUAGAUGUCGCUCGUGUUAUUUUCAGGCCUAUGUACAGCAGGAGAUUUUUAUGUUAAUAAUUUAGAAUCCAUUUGUAUAUUAUCCGACAUGAUUUGCACAAACAUUUUUGUUUAUCUUCAACUGAAAUUAAUAUAAAAUCAUAUUAUAUAAUGUAAUCGUCAUAUAAAAGUGUAAUCGCGUAGCAUUAAUCAUAUCAGAUAGUAUAAACGAAUUUUUGUCGUGCAUUGAGGAUUCGAUCGUGGUUCGUAUCGUACCAUUGACCAAUCGUGCAAUUUUUUUCUUUUUUUUAUAUUUAAAAAAAUUUUUUUUUUCAUAUUGUUGCAUUAUUUUGUUGCAUGAUCGUGAUUCUUAAUGAAAUAUAAAUAGUGAUCUAUUUGUUAAAAGGAAUUAUGUUAAAAGGAAUUGAAAAAAGAAAUAUAGAUUGCAAAGUUCCAGUGUCUUGAAAGAUUCGCUAGAGAUUCCUUCGAGAAUUUUUUAUACAAAUUUUUCUCAAGAUACAAUGGAUUCUAAAAAUUAAAAAUUUUUUAAAUUUUAUUUUUAAAUUAAAAUGAAAACGUUAAAAAAGAGAAGAAAAGGAAAAUGAACAAUUUUAGCAAUUUUUAUAGCGUGAACAAUUACGAAUGAAGAUUACACAAAAAUGAAAGAAAACAAUACAGAUGUAGAAAAAAAAGGAUAGAAACAUGGAUGAUGGUAUUCAUUCCAAAGCGUUUUCAUUUUCACAAAAUUUAUGAUUGUUCUAUGUCUUGUGAAUUUGCCGUACCGAGACGGUGGUGGCUGUACAAGAAUUGGCUCGAUUCCGCAAGAAGGCUGAGCCCUCCCAUUUUCUCUUAAAUUGCGCUAUCACCUAAACAAAAAAACAAAAUAAAACGGCCACACAGAGACCCUGUAGAAAAAACAUCAAAAAUUUAAAAAUUUAUAAAUAAUAUUUAAUUUAAUAAUUAUUUAUUUCAAAUAUUUAUAAAAGAUUAAUUAACUUUAACAUUCAAUUUGAUAUAGUAUCCGAGAAAAUUGAGAGUUGAUUGUGAAAUAUAAGAAAAUGGUUAAAUAUAGUUUCUAUUGAAAAAUAUGUGAAAUUACCUGGAAAGAAGCUGUUAUAGCGGAAAGAACCUCAUAGAAAUGCUCCCAAGGAUGAUUUUUCGGUGGCCUGAAGGGUAUAACAAGAUAAUGUAAACCCAAAAGAGGUACAAGAAGUAAUGUUGCCCUAAUGAAAUGAAAAAUUGUUAUUUUUUUUUUAAUUAAACUAAAACAAAAUUAAAAAACAUUUAGAUAUGAAUUAAUAAAUAUUAAUUACCGAAAUGCUUGACGCAUAGAUCUUGAAGGUUGUGUACCAAUGCUAGGACCAGCUCUCAAUUUCAUUAAUAGAACUCGAACGAUAUUGAAGAGAAAAAGUACAUUCAAUAAGGUGGAAACGCAUACUGGAUAAACCAGUACGUUCAUGUAAUUACCCUCAUUGAUCCAACAUCUGAAAUCACCAUUAAAGAAUUAAUGUACGGGCCAACCAAGAAUCAUCAACCAUUUUACUAAUUUUUGUUCGCUUGUGAAUGCACUGACAAGCAGAGUAUGUAGAUAAAAACCUUCACACAACAUCCAUGCAUAAUUAGUAAGAAGAAAGUAAUGAAGAAUAAUAUGCAACAGCCGACAUGUCAUCUGAAAAUCAAUUUUAAUAAUAAUAUUAUAUAUAAUAAAAUUUAAUUUAUACAAUUAAUAUAUAUAAAAAAUGAAACAAAAAGAAAAACAGGUAAAAAAAUAAAACUUAAAAAAAAGUUUGUUUUUAUCAUUGAUAUAUAUAUAUUUCACUAAAAAUAAGCAAAUUUAUAAUAUGUUAAAAAAAAUAUAAAAAUAUAAAAAUAAUAAAAAUGUAUAAGAUAAUGUUUGUUUCCUAUACUACUUAAUUUCAGAAUUUACAAAGGCAUUAUUAUUCGAACGAUAUAUGGUGUGACUAAAUUCUCGUUCGAGUUACUGGGUCGAGUGUUAAGCAAAGAGUUAAGAUCUUCAUACAUACCCCAUUGUUCAACAGUAAAUCCGUAUUCGCUACGAUGCAUCUAUACCAUACCAGCCAUAGAGCAUUAUUUACAGCAAAAGAGGCGAACAGGUUCAUAUGAAGAGUGAUCCUUGCACACCUCAGGGAGCUAUUUCGAAGAAAUUCAUGGAAAAAGAUUCAAUUAAUUAGAGAAUAAAGAAAUAUAAAAGUUUAAUUAAUGGAAUAUUAGAAGACUUUGGGCGAAUAGGAAGUUACAUAGUAGUUAAGUGAACUUCAUAAACUUCUACAGCGUCUAAUUGCAUUUAUUGGCCCUUUGUCCCGUGAAAAUUGAAUUGGUCCCGCCAUUAAGCACGACAGCUGUUUAUUCGAUAUCCGAUAAAAACAGGCUAAGAUUGAUUAUUUUUCAAAAACACUUCAAUAUAUUUAUUCACUUCUAUAAAGAAUAACGAAAACUUUAACCAAAACUCUUCAAGAGUCUCUUAAAAUCGUUUUCAUACGCUUGCAAGAGAUAGUAAUGGCACCAUCGGGAAAUUCGAUGAACUCCUGAAUCCCAAAGGAUUUCUAGAAGAAAACGAAAGAAGUCAUUUCGUUCUUUUCUUUUUUUUUUUUUUUUUUAUUCAACAUUAAAGAAGUUUUCGAUAUGAAACGAGAAAUUCAUCGAGGUAGAAAAUUCCCAGUUAUUCGUAUCUCGGUUUGUCUUAUCUUUUGCAUAGUUUCUGCAUAGUGAAACGAUAUCUUUCUCAUUACAUCUUUUGAAUUCUUUGCUAUCACGAUCGUGCCUUCGGCAAAAGAUAUGAUCCAUGCAAAGAUUAUCGUAUUAUAAUAUUACAGGAAUUAAUGAUUAGAAUGAUUUUAUAAUAUUAAAA